UACGGGGGGAGCAAGCGUUGUUCGGAUUUACUGGGCGUAAAGGGCGCGUAGGCGGCGCAACAAGUCACUUGUGAAAUCUCCGGGCUUAACCCGGAGCGGUCAAGUGAUACUGUCGGGCUAGAGUGCAGAAGGGGCAACUGGAAUUCUCGGUGUAGCGGUGAAAUGCGUAGAUAUCGAGAGGAACACCUGCGGCGAAGGCGGGUUGCUGGGCUGACGCUGACGCUGAUGCGCGAAAGCUAGGGGAGCGAAGCGGG
rnacentral:rRNA from 1 species